AAAAAGUACGAUUUCAAUUUUUAGGUUGUCUUUAGUUAGUGCUUUUGAUGCAAGUGUACCCCCUCUAAAAACAAAAAAUCUCAAGCUGCGCUGCUCAGAAGUUUUAUUCUGGCUUUGGUUUCGCUUUAAGUUAAGAUUAUAUAUUAGCAUGAGUUUUUGAAAUGUCCAAGUUGUAGUAAUUUAUAUUAAAUAUUAUAAAUGUUAGAUUUAGUUAAAUUAAUAGGAUCGGUUAAAGACGUGCCAGCUACCGCGGUUAGACGUAGGAUCCAAGUGAAAUUAGUAGGUUAAAGUUACUUAACAUUUAAUUUUAUUUAAUUAUGAUUAAAAAAUUAUUAGGGUGAAAUCUGUAAAAUUUUUUAUAUUUAUUGAUUAAAUUUGUAUGGUUAGUUUUAAGAGGGGAGUUUAAACCAGGAUUAGAUACCCUGUUAUUCUUCUUGAAAGCUUUACUAGGGUAGUAAAAGAAUUCUUCAAACCCAAAGAAUUUGGCGGUACCUUAUCCUAACAGAGGAGCUUGCCCUUUAAAUGAUAGUCCCCGUUAGAUCUUUCUUAACCUUGUUUUCAACUUGUAUACCUCCGUUGUCAGACUACUCUUAUAGGAUGUCUUCUAGAAAAAUAAUUUUUUCACUUCAGGUCAAGGUGCAGUUUAUGGUUAAGUGGUGGUGAGCUACAAUUAAAUUAAUUAAUUAUGGAUUAGUUUUUAAACAUGGCUAUGAAAGUGGAUUUGUCAGUAAAAUAAAAUUAGAAUAUUUAUUUGAAUAAGGCUAUGAGGUAUGUACAUAUCGCCCGUCACCCUCCUUUUAAGAGGAGGUAAGUCGUAACAUAGUAGGUGUACCGGAAGGUGUACCUAGAAAGUC
rnacentral:ncRNA from 1 species